rnacentral:rRNA from 1 species
CUCAAUGCGGCAGCAAUCACUGCGCUUGUUGAUUGAUGGAGGACGGAGACACACAGUUUCCAUCUUCAGACUAGGGAGAUGACUGUGACACUCCAGGAUAUCACUAUCAUCGUCGGUCUUCAUAUUUUGGGGAAUCCUCUCUAUAUGAGCACCGAUUCUGAUGGGUGGCGCCAACAGAUGGAGGCCCUUAUCGGUAUGUCUCCUCCAGAGCCUCUAGUACCAUAA